rnacentral:rRNA from 1 species
AUUGAACGCUGGCGGCAGGCCUAACACAUGCAAGUCGAGCGGAUGACGGGAGCUUGCUCCUUGAUUCAGCGGCGGACGGGUGAGUAAUGCCUAGGAAUCUGCCUGGUAGUGGGGGACAACGUUUCGAAAGGAACGCUAAUACCGCAUACGUCCUACGGGAGAAAGCAGGGGACCUUCGUGCCUCGCGCUAUCAGAUGAGCCUAGGUCGGAUUAGCUAGUUGGUGGGGUAAUGGCUCACCAAGGCGACGAUCCGUAACUGGUCUGAGAGGAUGAUCAGUCACACUGGAACGCGGCCCGGGUCCAGAGUCCGACGGGAGGCAGCAGUGGGGAAGAUUGGACAAUGGGCGCAAGACUGAUGCCGCCAUGCCGCGUGUGUGAAGAAGGUCUUCGGAUUGUAAAGCACGUUAAGUUGGGAGGAAGGGCAGUAAGUUAACACCUGGAGAGGCUGACGGUACCGUGAGAGGAAGCCCCGGCUAACUCUGUGCCAGCCGCCGCGGUAACAC